rnacentral:rRNA from 1 species
GUAAAGCGUGCGCAGGCGGUUUUGUAAGACUGUCGUGAAAUCCCCGGGCUCAACCUGGGAAUGGCGAUGGUGACUGCAAGGCUAGAGUUUGGCAGAGGGGGGUAGAAUUCCACGUGUAGCAGUGAAAUGCGUAGAUAUGUGGAGGAACACCGAUGGCGAAGGCAGCCCCCUGGGUCAAAACUGACGCUCAUGCACGAAAGCGUGGGGAGCAAACAGGAUUAGAUACCUGU